UAGGGAAUCUUCCACAAUGGGCGAAAGCCUGAUGGAGCAACGCCGCGUGUGUGAUGAAGGGUUUCGGCUCGUAAAACACUGUUGUAAGAGAAGAAUGAUAUUGAGAGUAACUGUUCAAUGUGUGACGGUAUCUUACCAGAAAGGAACGGCUAAAUACGUGCCGG
rnacentral:rRNA from 1 species